GUUCAGGGCAUACUAUAAGAGGUGAAUUUAAUACAUUAACAGAUGUAAUACAUUCGUUUUUUUUGAAAGAUAAUAUAAAAAAUAAUUAUUUUUAUUGUGGCAUGUAAUUGGAUGUAUUUGUAAAUUAAAUUCUUUUAAACAUUAGCCUGAAAAGAAAAUGUGCAAGUUUCAUUGAACCUUGAAAAGGGAUCGAGAUGGGGGGAGGGGCGGCGGGGGCACCCGAUUUCUUCUACAAGGAAGCUCAGCGCCUUGGCUAUGUUGCUCGCUCUGCCUUCAAGCUAGUACAGAUACAGAAGCAGCACAAGCUCAUCAAGGCUGGCUCAUCCGUACUGGACCUCGGCUGUGCUCCGGGUGCUUGGCUUCAAGUUGCUUGCCAGAGCCUCGGUCCUCCCAAUCAUGGCGGUUCCGUUCUCGGCAUCAAUCUCAAGGUUUUUCAGUCGACUUAGAAUGGUUCCAGUAAUUGCAUUAGUUGGUUUUGAACUAUUUAACAGAGGGUUCCUUGUGGUUGGGAGCUGCAUCGAAAUUGGAAUUCCCAUGCUAAUACUGUUUAUAGCCUUGUCUCAGGUACAAUUUAAAAGUAGACACUAAUGGAUUAGAAUUCUCGUGUCUAUCUUUCUCAAGGCAUAUUAAUUUUGGCAUGUUUCUUAGUAUUAUUGUAUAAUUAGGUAGCUGUUAUUGUAUAGGACAAGGGAAUAACAAGACAAUCCCAUCCAAAACUAAAAGAAGCACUCAUGAUCACGUAGGUCUAGUCGAUAUAUAACUGAAGCUAUAUACAUCUUUUACAUGAAUUAAACCAUCAUUCAUGCAGAAUAUAUAUAAUCAUCACCAUUAACACUUUUCAGUUUUUCCUACUCCCUACUUGGCACGCUAAUAAUGUCUUUCUCUAAUUUUAAUGAUUUACUUUGGGCUUCAAAUAAUUGAGUUUAUA